rnacentral:sRNA from 1 species
AGAACAUCAGUUACUUUUAUAUGAAGAAAAAUACAGGAACAGGCUGGAGUUCUGUGUUUUUGAGUCCAUUAUGGAAGGGUAAAGGCUACACACCUAAGAGCUGAGAAUGAAGCGGAGAGCAUCAGACAGAGGAGCUGGGGAAACGUCGGCCAGGGCCAAGGCUCUAGGAAGUGGGAUUUCUGGAAAUAAUGCAAAGAGAGCUGGACCAUUCAUCCUUGGUCCCCGUCUGGGCAACUCACCGGUGCCAAGCAUAGUGCAGUGUUUGGCGAGGAAAGAUGGCACAGAUGACUUCUAUCAGCUGAAGAUCCUGACCCUGGAGGAGAGGGGAGACCAAGGCAUAGAGAGCCAGGAAGAGCGGCAGGGCAAGAUGCUGCUGCACACCGAGUACUCGCUGCUGUCUCUCCUGCACACGCAGGACGGCGUGGUGCACCACCACGGCCUCUUCCAGGACCGCACCUGUGAAAUCGUUGAGGACACAGAAUCCAGCCGGAUGGUUAAGAAGAUGAAGAAGCGCAUCUGCCUCGUCCUGGACUGCCUCUGUGCUCAUGACUUCAGCGACAAGACCGCUGACCUCAUCAACCUGCAGCACUACGUCAUCAAGGAGAAGAGGCUCAGUGAGAGAGAGACUG